GUUUAGAACGUCGUGAGACAGUUCGGUCCCUAUCUGCCGUGGGCGCUGGAGAACUGAGGGGGGCUGCUCCUAGUACGAGAGGACCGGAGUGGACGCAUCACUGGUGUUCGGGUUGUCAUGCCAAUGGCACUGCCCGGUAGUUACAUGCGGAAGAGAUAAGUGCUGAAAGCAUCUAAGCACGAAACUUGCCCCGAGAUGAGUUCUCCCUGAGGCUUUGAGUCUCCUGAAGGGACGUUGAAGACGACGACGUUGAUAGGCCGGGUGUGUAAGCGCAGCGAUGCGUUGAGCUAACCGGUACUAAUGACCCGUGAGGCUUAACCUU
rnacentral:rRNA from 1 species